rnacentral:rRNA from 1 species
UUAAGCGACUAAGCGUACACGGUGGAUGCCCUGGCAGUCAGAGGCGAUGAAGGACGUGCUAAUCUGCGAUAAGCGUCGGUAAGGUGAUAUGAACCGUUAUAACCGGCGAUUUCCGAAUGGGGAAACCCAGUGUGUUUCGACACACUAUCAUUAACUGAAUCCAUAGGUUAAUGAGGCGAACCGGGGGAACUGAAACAUCUAAGUACCCCGAGGAAAAGAAAUCAACCGAGAUUCCCCCAGUAGCGGCGAGCGAACGGGGAGGAGCCCAGAGCCUGAAUCAGUGUGUGUGUUAGUGGAAGCGUCUGGAAAGGCGCGCGAUACAGGGUGACAGCCCCGUACACAAAAAUGCACAUAUUGUGAGCUCGAUGAGUAGGGCGGGACACGUGGUAUCCUGUCUGAAUAUGGGGGGACCAUCCUCCAAGGCUAAAUACUCCUGACUGACCGAUAGUGAACCAGUACCGUGAGGGAAAGGCGAAAAGAACCCCGGCGAGGGGAGUGAAAAAGAACCUGAAACCGUGUACGUACAAGCAGUGGGAGCCUCUUUUAUGGGGUGACUGCGUACCUUUUGUAUAAUGGGUCAGCGACUUAUAUUCUGUAGCAAGGUUAACCGAAUAGGGGAGCCGAAGGGAAACCGAGUCUUAACUGGGCGUUAAGUUGCAGGGUAUAGACCCGAAACCCGGUGAUCUAGCCAUGGGCAGGUUGAAGGUUGGGUAACACUAACUGGAGGACCGAACCGACUAAUGUUGAAAAAUUAGCGGAUGACUUGUGGCUGGGGGUGAAAGGCCAAUCAAACCGGGAGAUAGCUGGUUCUCCCCGAAAGCUAUUUAGGUAGCGCCUCGUGAACUCAUCUCCGGGGGUAGAGCACUGUUUCGGCAAGGGGGUCAUCCCGACUUACCAACCCGAUGCAAACUGCGAAUACCGGAGAAUGUUAUCACGGGAGACACACGGCGGGUGCUAACGUCCGUCGUGAAGAGGGAAACAACCCAGACCGCCAGCUAAGGUCCCAAAGUCAUGGUUAAGUGGGAAACGAUGUGGGAAGGCCCAGACAGCCAGGAUGUUGGCUUAGAAGCAGCCAUCAUUUAAAGAAAGCGUAAUAGCUCACUGGUCGAGUCGGCCUGCGCGGAAGAUGUAACGGGGCUAAACCAUGCACCGAAGCUGCGGCAGCGACGCUGAUGCGUUGUUGGGUAGGGGAGCGUUCUGUAAGCCUGUGAAGGUGUGCUGUGAGGCAUGCUGGAGGUAUCAGAAGUGCGAAUGCUGACAUAAGUAACGAUAAAGCGGGUGAAAAGCCCGCUCGCCGGAAGACCAAGGGUUCCUGUCCAACGUUAAUCGGGGCAGGGUGAGUCGACCCCUAAGGCGAGGCCGAAAGGCGUAGUCGAUGGGAAACAGGUUAAUAUUCCUGUACUUGGUGUUACUGCGAAGGGGGGACGGAGAAGGCUAUGUUGGCCGGGCGACGGUUGUCCCGGUUUAAGCGUGUAGGCUGGUUUUCCAGGCAAAUCCGGAAAAUCAAGGCUGAGGCGUGAUGACGAGGCACUACGGUGCUGAAGCAACAAAUGCCCUGCUUCCAGGAAAAGCCUCUAAGCAUCAGGUAACAUCAAAUCGUACCCCAAACCGACACAGGUGGUCAGGUAGAGAAUACCAAGGCGCUUGAGAGAACUCGGGUGAAGGAACUAGGCAAAAUGGUGCCGUAACUUCGGGAGAAGGCACGCUGAUAUGUAGGUGAAGUCCCUCGCGGAUGGAGCUGAAAUCAGUCGAAGAUACCAGCUGGCUGCAACUGUUUAUUAAAAACACAGCACUGUGCAAACACGAAAGUGGACGUAUACGGUGUGACGCCUGCCCGGUGCCGGAAGGUUAAUUGAUGGGGUCAGCGCAAGCGAAGCUCUUGAUCGAAGCCCCGGUAAACGGCGGCCGUAACUAUAACGGUCCUAAGGUAGCGAAAUUCCUUGUCGGGUAAGUUCCGACCUGCACGAAUGGCGUAAUGAUGGCCAGGCUGUCUCCACCCGAGACUCAGUGAAAUUGAACUCGCUGUGAAGAUGCAGUGUACCCGCGGCAAGACGGAAAGACCCCGUGAACCUUUACUAUAGCUUGACACUGAACAUUGAGCCUUGAUGUGUAGGAUAGGUGGGAGGCUUUGAAGUGUGGACGCCAGUCUGCAUGGAGCCGACCUUGAAAUACCACCCUUUAAUGUUUGAUGUUCUAACGUUGACCCGUGAUCCGGGUUGCGGACAGUGUCUGGUGGGUAGUUUGACUGGGGCGGUCUCCUCCUAAAGAGUAACGGAGGAGCACGAAGGUUGGCUAAUCCUGGUCGGACAUCAGGAGGUUAGUGCAAUGGCAUAAGCCAGCUUGACUGCGAGCGUGACGGCGCGAGCAGGUGCGAAAGCAGGUCAUAGUGAUCCGGUGGUUCUGAAUGGAAGGGCCAUCGCUCAACGGAUAAAAGGUACUCCGGGGAUAACAGGCUGAUACCGCCCAAGAGUUCAUAUCGACGGCGGUGUUUGGCACCUCGAUGUCGGCUCAUCACAUCCUGGGGCUGAAGUAGGUCCCAAGGGUAUGGCUGUUCGCCAUUUAAAGUGGUACGCGAGCUGGGUUUAGAACGUCGUGAGACAGUUCGGUCCCUAUCUGCCGUGGGCGCUGGAGAACUGAGGGGGGCUGCUCCUAGUACGAGAGGACCGGAGUGGACGCAUCACUGGUGUUCGGGUUGUCAUGCCAAUGGCACUGCCCGGUAGCUAAAUGCGGAAGAGAUAAGUGCUGAAAGCAUCUAAGCACGAAACUUGCCCCGAGAUGAGUUCUCCCUGACUCCUUGAGAGUCCUGAAGGAACGUUGAAGACGACGACGUUGAUAGGCCGGGUGUGUAAGCGCAGCGAUGCGUUGAGCUAACCGGUACUAAUGAACCGUGAGGCUUAACCUU